rnacentral:lncRNA from 1 species
GAAUAAACCAUAUUACAUAUCUAAAUUAAAUAUUACAUAAUUAAAGCUGAAACAAGCAGUAGCCACUAGCCAGUAGGUACAAAGUUCAAUCAACCAUAUUACAUAUCCAACUAAUCCAAGAUUAAAAACAAACAACGCACAAGGCACAAUUCUCUCAAUUAUAAAGUCUCCAGUCUCGAACAAAUCAACCAUAUUACAUAUCCAAGAUUGAUGCAUCUAAAUCGCCUGCUGAAAAUUCUGCAAUUUUUAAAAGACAAAUGUGAGCAAAUCAUAAUUUAUUAAGAAAAAUUUAAACUACAUUACAAAAAAAUAAAUAAAUACAUGUCCUCAUAAAAAUUGUUUCUGCACCACAUAAUUGUAAGGUGAGACAAAAAGAAUGAGCAACCAAUUGAAGGGAAAAAAUGGUUGAAUUCCGAAGUAUAUAACCCUUUCUCAAAACUAAACCCAGGCUGACUUGAUCUCGAAAUGAACUAAAAUAUUUGUAACACUGCAACAAACCACUACAAACUAUAAUUCAGUUAAUACGCACACCUAGAGGGGGGGUGAAUAGGUGUUUAAGCUUAAAGUGAUAAACAGUGAAAAUUUUUUGAAAUUUUCUACUACAGGUUUAAUUCAGACAGCUACACAUGUCUGCUUUAGUGUCUGCUAUAACUUAUGUUCUUCGUUCAAUAUUAUCAGACAGUUAUACAUGUCUGCUUUAAUGUCUGGAUUCGUGUAUCUUCAAACUAAUAAAGUAAAAUAACCAGAAAUUAAACAAACAUAAAGGAGAAGUGCAGAAACGUAAAGGCACAAAGAUUUUUACGUGGUUCAGCCCCUAUCCUCUAUCUAGUGGCCUAAUCCACGUCCAAUCCCAACUAGGAUUGGAGACUCUUUUUAUUACUAUUUAAACCUCAAUACAAAGAGUCUCCAAUCCUAGUUGGGAUUGGACGUGGAUUAGGCCACUAGAUAGAUGAUAGGGGCUGAACCACGUAAAAAUCUUGGUGCCUUUAUGUUUCUAUACUUCUCCUUUCUGUUUGUUUAAUUUCUGGGUAUUUUACUUUAUUAGUUUGAAGAUACACGAAUCCAGACACUAAAGCAGACAUGUAUAACUGUCUGAUAAUAUUGAACGAAGAACAUAAGUUAAUGCAGACAUUAAAGCAGACAUAUGUAGCUGUCUGAAUUAAACCUGUAGCAGAAAAUUUUAAAAAGUUUUCACUGUUUAUCACUUUAAGCUUAAACACAUAUUCACCCUCCCUCUAGGAGUGCGUAUUAACUGAAUUACAUUUGGUAUCAGAGCUUGGCUCUACUAAUAUUAAUUGUUACAGGUCGUAGGGGAAGAUCCUAUGACACACCUAAACUUUCAAGAAGGUCAGUCCACAAAUAGGCCACCGUUGUUGCUCGGAAGUGAGAACUUCAACUUUUGGAAGUUCAGAAUGAAGAUCUAUCUGAACUGUGACCCAUGGGAAUGGUGGGUAGUCAAAAAUAGACCAGUCAUUCCGCGACAUGAUGAUGGCAAGCCAAAGAAUCUCAUGGAAAUGGACUCAAAUGAAUCGUAUAUAGUAUCUUAUGAUUCCAAGGCCAUGAAUACACUUUUAAGUGGCAUGGUUCAGUCAGAGAUAGAUAAAGUCUCUUCUUGUACUACGGCUAAGGAAAUUUAGGACACAGUCAUCAUGAGCCACGAAGGUACUACUAAAGUGAUGGAGGUCAAGAUAAGCAUGCUAAUGCACGAAUACGAACUAUUCAAAUUGGAGAAAAAUGAAUCAAUUAGAGAUGCCCAAGCAAGAUUCCUCACUCUAAUGAAUUCUUUAAGCAUGCUCGAACGAAAGAUUGAUCAGAAGGAAAUCAACCGAAAGCUUCUUAGAGUCAUGUCAAAGCGAUUUGCACCAAAUGUUACUACACUUCAAGACUCAGUCACAAUCAACACAAUGGAAACUCUUACCUUAUUUGGAGAACUUGAAGAGUUUGAAAACCAACUAAAAUUGUAUGAUGAAGAAGAUGAGGUACCUAAGAAGAAGACCUUGGCUCUACAAGCUGAAAGCUACAUAGAAGGCAAUGAUGAAGAUUUAGAUGAAGAAAUAGCUUUAAUGACCAAAAAAUUGAGGGAGCUGAUCCGAAAGAAGAAUAGAUCAAAAUUACCAACAAAAGCUUUCAACAACAAGAAAGACUUGAAGCAAAAGCCACAAGAGGAAACUUGUUUCGAAUGUCGAAGACCUGGUCACUUCAAAAGAAAUUACUUCCAACUAAAAAGAAAGAACAAAGCAAAUGGUUCAAAAGGGAAGGCUCUAAUGACAUGGAGUGAUGAUGAAUCUAAUCAUGAAGAUCAAGAAGAAGAAACUGCUCAACUGUGCUUCACCGGAAUACACAAUAAGGGAACAUCUGAAGUAAGUCCUGAACUUGGAGAAAUUACUAUUUCUGGCUAUCUUGUUUUAAAAAAUGAAAACCUUCGUAUAAAAGAGAAAAAUGCUCACUUGAAAAGUUGGAUAAACGACUUAAUGAAGGAAGUAGAAACUUUAAUUGAGGAAAAACAAGAAAUAGUUAAAGAUUGCACAUCAUGUGAAGUAUCUAAGUUGAAUGCUAAAAUUGGAUAUUUAGAUAAUUAUAAUAAAAUUUUAUAUAAUCGUGCAAACAAAUUAAAUGAAGAAAAUAAUAGCCUUAAAAAGGAAAAUGAUGAUUUAAAAGAAAGCUUGAAAAUGAGAGAUACUUGUAUAGAUGCUUUUAAUGAUGGCAAAAUAAUAAACAUACAAAAUAACAAUGACGAAGAAAUAAUAUCUUUGAAAAAGGAUCUUGCAAAAUUUGUUCAAGGAGAAGAGAAUUUAAAUAUAAUGUUGGGUGCUCAAAGGUCAAGCUUAGAUAAACAAGGAAUUGGAUAUAAUCCUGUUAAAAACAUAAAAAGCACGACUAAUAAAAUUAGAGUAAUAAAUAAUAAACCAAGGAACAAGCCUCUUUAUUGCUCACCUUAUGUUACUUGCAGAAAAUGUGGUUUAAAAAGACAUUUUGAUACAAACUGUAAUAAAAUUAAAAUAAAACAAGUUUGGGUAAAGAAAGGAGAUUUAAUUGCUACUAACAAUAGCGGACCCAAACAGAUUUGGGUACCAAAACGAUGAGCUACUUCUUUGUUUUGUAGGUAUGCUUAAAAGCUAAAGUACCAUCACAUAAAUGGGUACUUGACAGUGGAUGUUCUAGACACAUGACGGGUGAUAGAACUAAAUUUACCUCACUUGUUGCAAAGAAAGGAGGCACGGUUAGUUUUGGAGAGGACAACACAUGCCAAAUCAUCGGUAAAGGCAAAAUUGGUAGUGGUAAGGUUUCAUUGAUAAUGUCCAUCAUGUUGAAGGGUUAAAAUAUAAUUUAAUUAGUGUAAGUCAACUAAUGGAUAGUGGUCAUAAAGUUAUUUUUGAAAAAGAUAAAUGUGUUAUUAUUCAUGCCUCUCAUAAUGUUCCUUUAGUAGCUAACAGAGAAGGUAAUAUAUACACUAUAAAUUUUGAAAAUCAAAAUAAGGAUAUUUGUUUAGCUGUUGUUCAAGAUCAAACUAUUCUAUGGCAUAGAAGGUUGGGGCAUGUGCAUAUGGAAUUGAUUAACAAGUUAGUUACAAAGAACCUUGUUAAAGGUUUACCAAAGCUAUAAUAUGAAAAGACAGGUAUUUGUAAUGCAUGUCAGUUAACAAGCAAGAAAUUCUUUUACAAGCAAAAAUCAGGUAUCAACUUCUUUACCUCUUCAAUUAUUGCAUCUUGAUUUAUUUGGACCCGAGAGAUAUGCUAGCCUAGGAAAUAAUCAUUAUGCUUUUGUAUUGUUGAUGAUUUUUCAAGAUUUACAUGGGUUUUAUUUUUGAAAACUAAAGAUCAAGCUUUUGCAAAAUUUGAAAAACUUAUAAAGAAUGUUGAAACAAAACACAACCUCAAGCUAAUUGGUAUACGGAGUGACCACGGUGGAGAAUUUGGAAAAGAUUUUAUACCAUAUUGCAGUGAGAAAGGUGUUACACAUGAGUUUUCUGCACCAGUGUGGUGGAACGUAAAAAUCGUACUCUUCAAGAAACUACAAGAACUUUACUACAUGAAAGUAAACUGCCUAAAAAUUUUUGGGCAGAGGCUGUAAGUACUGCAUGUUACAUUUUAAAUAGAGUACUAAUUAGACCCAUCCUAUUGAAAACACCGUAUGAGUUACUAAAUAAAAGGAUUCCAAAUAUUAACUAUUUUAAAGUGUUUGGUGCUAAAUGUUUCAUUCUAAAUACUAAUAGUAAUCUUGGAAAAUUUGAUGCAAAAUCAACCGAAGCUAUUUUUCUUGGGACUUCAAAUCAAACAAUCCAAUGAAGGGAUUCAUAUUCAACAAUCAAAGUAUGUGAAGGAGCUAUUGAAGAGAUUUGGAUUCGAAAAUACCAAACCAAAGUCAACACCAAUGAGUACUACCAUCAAGCUUACUGCGGAUGCUACAAGUAAAGAUGUUGAAGUGACAAUGUAUGGAGGUAUGAUUGGUUGUUUACUUUAUUUAACUGCAUCAAGACCAGAUAUUAUGUAUAGUGUAUGCCUUUGUGCUAGAUUUCAAGCUCAACCGAAAGAAUCUCAUCUUAAAGCGGUAAAAAGAAUAUUUAAAUAUUUAUCUGGCACAAUUAAUUUAGGCUUAUAUUAUCCUGUAUCUCCAAGUUUUGAACUAAUUGGAUACUCAGAUGCAGAUUAUGCAGGGUGCCAAGUUGAUAGAAAAAGCACAAGUGGUGCUUGUGAAUUUUUAGGUCAAAGCCUUGUAGCUUGGCACAGCAAGAAACAAACAUCUGUUGCCUUGUCUACUACAGAAGGUGAAUAUUUGGCAGCAGGUAGUUGUUGUUCACAAAUUCUGUGGAUGAUACAAACAUAACAUGAUUUUAAUGUUAUUUAUGAAAAUGUGCCUAUUAUGUGUGACAAAUAGAAGAAGAAUUUGGAGAUGUAGGAGUUGAAGUAGGAGGAACAAAACACUGAGUAGGAAACUUCUCAACAUCCCAACAUAAGAUUCCAUCAGAAUUCACUUUCAAUGUAGAUUGCAACAAGAUAUAUUUAUCAAUGUUAUCAGAAAUUUACACAACAUCUUUAUUGACAAAAGAAAUUUCAAAGUGUGCAAGAAUUUUGGUUAUGAAACCCCCAAAAGGAAAACACUUUGUUUUAUUUGUCAAGCAACUUUCCAUGUGCUUAAUGCUUGACAAAUAAAACACUGAGCACCAAGAAAAAUAGCUUCGGUUGAUUUUGCAUCAAAUUUUCCAAGAUUACUAUUAGUAUUUAGAAUGAAACAUUUAGCACUAAACACUUUAAAAUAGUUAAUAUUUGGAAUCCUUUUAUUUAGUAACUCAUACGGUGUUUUCAAUAGGAUGGGUCUAAUUAGUACUCUAUUUAAAAUGUAACAUGCAGUACUUACAGCCUCUGCCCAAAAACUUUUAGGCAGUUUACUUUCAUGUAGUAAAGUUCUUGCAGUUUCUUGAAGAGUACGAUUUUUACGUUCCACCACACCAUUUUAUUGAGGAGUUCUUGGUCCAGAAAACUCAUAUGUAACACUUUUCUCACUGCAAUAUGGUAUAAAAUCUUUUCCAAAUUCUCCACCGUGGUCACUCCGUAUACCGAUUAGCUUGAGGUUGUGUUUUGUUUCAACAUUCUUUAUAAGUUUUUCAAAUUCUGCAAAAGCUUGAUCUUUAGUUUUCAAAAAUAAAACCCAUGUAAAUCUUGAAAAAUCAUCAACAAUAACAAAAGCAUAAUGAUUCCUAGGCUAGCAUAUCUCUCGGGUCCAAAUAAAUCAAGAUGCAAUAAUUAAAGAGGUAAAGAAGUUGAUACCUGAUUUUUGCUUGUAAGAGAAUUUCUUGCUUGUUUACCUAACUGACAUGCAUUACAAAUACCUGUCUUUUCAUAUUUUAGCUUUGGUAAACCUUUAACAAGGUUCUUUGUAACUAACUUGUUAAUCAAUUCCAUAUGCACAUGCCCCAACCUUCUAUGCCGUAGAAUAGUUUGACCUUGAACAGCAACUAAACAAAUAUCCUUAUUUUGAUUUUCAAAAUUUAUAGUGUAUAUAUUACCUUCUAUGUUAGCUACUAAAGGAACAGUAUGAGAAGCAUGAAUAAUAGCACAUUUAUCUUUUUCAAAAAUAACUUUAUGACCACUAUCCAAUAGUUGACUUACACUAAUUAAAUUAUAUUUUAACCCUUCAACAUGAUGGACAUUAUCAAUGAAAACCUUACCAUUACCAAUUUUACCUUUACCGAUGAUUUGGCAUGUGUUGUCCUCUCCAAAAGUAACCGUACCUCCUUUCUUUGCAACAAGUGAGGUAAAUUUAGUUCUAUCACCCGUCAUGUGUCUAGAACAUCCACCGUCAAGUACCCAUUUAUGUGAUGGUACUUUAGCUUUUAAGCAUACCUACAAAACAAAGAAGUAGCUCAUCGUUUUGGUACCCAAAUAUGUUUGGGUCCGCUAUUGUUAGUAGCAAUUAAAUCUUCUUUCUUUACCCAAACUUGUUUUAUUUUAAUUUUAUUACAAUUUGUAUCAAAAUGUCCUUUUAAACCAAUUUUCUGCAAGUAGCAUAAGGUGAGUAAUAAAGAAGCUUGUUCCUUGGUUUAUUAUUUAUUACUCUAAUUUUAUUAGUCGUGCUUUUUAUGUUUUUAACAGGAUUAUAUCCACUUCCUUGUUUAUCUAAGCUUGACCUUUGAGCACCCAACAUUAUAUUUAAAUUCUCUUCUCCUUGAACAAAUUUUUCAAGAUCCUUUUUCAAAGAUAUUAUUUCAUCGUCAUUGUUAUUUUGCAUGUUCAUUAUUUUUCCAUCAUUAAAAUCAUCUAUACAAGUAUCUCUCAUUUUCAAGUUUUCUUUUAAAUCAUCAUUUUCCUUUUUAAGGGUAUUAUUUUCUUCAUUUAAUUUGUUUGCACGAUUAUAUAAAAUUUUAUUAUAAUUAUCUAAAUAUCCAAUUUUAGCAUUCAACUGAGAUACUUCACAUGAUGAGCAAUCUUUAACUAUUUCUUGUUUUUCCUCAAUUAAAGUUUCUACUUCCUUCAUUAAGUCAUUUAUCCAACUUUUCAAGUGAGCAUUUUUCUCUUUCAUACGAAGGUUUUCAUUUUUUAAAACAAGAUAGUCAGAAAUAGUAAUUUCUCCAAGUUCAGGACUUACUUCAGAUGUUCCCUCAUUGUGUAUUCCGGUGAAGCACAGUUGAGCAGUUUCUUCUUCUUGAUCUUCAUGAUUAGAUUCAUCAUCACUCCAUGUCAUUAGAGCCUUCCCUUUUGAACCAUUUGCUUUGUUCUUUCUUUUUAGUUGGAAGCAAUCUCUUUUGAAGUGACCAGGUCUUCCACAUUCGAAACAGGUUUCCUCUUGUGGCUUUUGCUUCAAGUCUUUCUUGUUGUUGAAAGCUUUUGUUGGUAAUUUUGAUCUAUUCUUCUUUCGGAUCAGCUCCCUCAAUUUUUUGGUCAUUAAAGCUAUUUCUUCAUCUGAAUCUUCAUCAUUGCCUUCUAUGUAGCUUUCAGCUUGUAGAGCCAAAGUCUUCUUCUUAGGUACCUCAUCUUCUUCAUCAUACAAUUUUAGUUGGUUUUCAAACUCUUCAAGUUCUCCAAAUAAGGUAAGAGUUUCCAUUGUGUUGAUUGUGACCGAGUCUUGAAGUGUAGUAACAUUUGGUGCGAAUCGCUUUGACAUGACUCUAAGAAGCUUUCGGUUGAUUUCCUUCUGAUCAAUCUUUCGUCCGAGCAUGCUUAAAGAAUUCAUUAGAGUGAGGAAUCUUGCUUGGGCAUCUCUAAUUGAUUCAUUUUUUUCUAAUUUGAAUAGUUCGUAUUCGUGCAUUAGCAUGCUCAGUUUGACCUCCUUCACUUUAGUACUACCUUCAUGGCUCAUGAUGAUUGUGUCCCAAAUUUCCUUAGCCGUAGUACAAGAAGAGACUUUAUCUAUCUCUGACUGAACCAUGCCACUUAAAAGUGUAUUCAUGGCCUUGGAAUCAUAAGAUACCAUAUACGAUUCAUUUGAGUCCAUUUCCAUGAGAUUCUUUGGCUUGCCAUCAUCAUGUCGCGGAAUGACUGGUCUAUUUCGACUACCCACCAUUCCCAUGGGUCACGGUUCAAAUAGAUCUUCAUUCUGAACUUUCAAAAGUUGAAGUUCUCACUUCCGAGCAACAGCGGUAGCUUACUUAUGGACUGACCUUCUUGAAAGUUUAGGUGUGCCAUAGGAUCUUCCCCUACGACCUGUAACGAUCAAUAUUAGUAGAGCCAAGCUUUGAUACCAAAUGUAAUUCAGUUAAUACGCACACCUAGAAGGGGGGUGAAUAGGUGUUUAAGCUUAAAGUGAUAAACAGUGAACUUUUUGCAAUUUUCUGCUACAGGUUUAAUUCAGACAGCUACACCUGUCUGCUUUAACUUAUGUUCUUCGUUCAAUAUUAUCAGACAACUAUACAUGUCUGCUUUAGUGUCUGGAUUCGUAUAUCUUCAAACUAAUAAAGUAAAAUACCCAGAAAUUAAACAAACAGAAAGAAGAAGUGCAGAAACGUAAAGGCACCAAGAUUUUUACGUAGUUCAGCUCCUAUCCUCUAUCUAGUGGCCUAAUCCACGUCCAAUCCCAACUAGGAUUGGAGACUCUUUUUAUUACUAUUUAAACCUCAAUACAAAAUUUACUCCCUGUUAUAAAGAAGCCUCAAUAUCUGAUGUUGGACACUUAUGCCCCUUUUUGCACCUCUGCAACUUGUACACCUCGACACCUCUUUCUCACCUCUGAGACCCUUGAAGCCUUCUAUGAACAGACUAACUAAAACAGGAAACCUCAAGCCAAAACUAUGCUCGAGUACUUUGGUUUACAAUGAAUGAGUUUGGAAGGUAAAACAAAUUUCCAACACAAAAGAAUAUAACAGAUUACAAUAAAAUGGCUAAAAUAAAAUAAUUGAAGUGCUCUGAUAUAGUAUGUCAACUUGAGUGCAGAUUCAAGAGAUGUGUCCUGUUCAGCCAAAGAGAAGCAGUAUAUAUAAAAAGACAAGCAACGACUAUAAAAGAUGUUAGCUAAGAAAUCUCAGUCCCGUUAAAGUGAAUCCAUGAUUUCAGCAUAUUUGUAUAACCAGAAAAAUAAGAACUAUUCGCCAACUAUUUGAUUUUGAAGUAGCUGAAAUAAAGGAGAUAAACUUCUAUACCCAGUCAACUAUUUUAAACCAGAGUAACAAUGAGAUAAGAUAAGACCCAGUAACUCUAAACAGAAUACAAAGACUCCUUAUCAAAAUAGAAUACAAAGUACUACUAACUAUUGUGAGCCCCACCAAGCAAUAGUAUAUCCUUAAAUAAAAUUUAGUUCAGUUGACAUAUUCUGUAGAAUAAAUAAACUAAAUUUGGGCAAGCUGGAAAAAACAAUUAAUAACAUAAAUCCAUAAUAUUUGUCAUUAUUAAAAUUAAAAAUACCAACACAAAUAAUUUAGUUUUUUUAUAUUUAAAAAAAAUUGGAAUAUAUGUAACUAUGACUCCUUUAAUAUUUGAAAAUGAGACAUCAUGAAAACAAUUCUAAUUUGGUAUCCUAAAUACAGAAACAGAUAGACAUAACAGUGCAGGAUUUGGAGAAAGAGGAUGCUCAGAUGUUGCAUAAAUGAAACAAUUUCAUUAUGCUUUCCAUGCUUAAAUAAUAAUAGAGCCCAAAACCAACAUUAAAAUGAAUUAAAGAUUAAAAUCUCAGAAAAAUCAUCCCUCAUCGUAGCAAGUUUGCAAUUAAAAAAAAAUGCAGUAUAUGAUAUCUACAUUACUAAUAUAUAUGUAUAUAUAUAGACUAUCCUAAACUAGAAAAUACAUGGUUCGACCAUAAAUUUAUUAGAUAGAAUAAUAAGAUACCAAAUCCACAAUGCUAAAAUGAACCUUCUAUACACACAAAACCUUAUUUCUCAAAAGAAAUAAUUGCAUUUGUCCCUGAAGAUUAUCAUAAAGAGAUACAAAGAGGAUGUGCAACCAAUUGACAGAAACAUGAUGAGUGUGAACUCAAAGAACACCAAUUACAAGGGGGAGAAGAAGAAAAAAAUCAUACACCUAAUCAGUUUUCGGAAAAUCUACAACAGUAAUAAGAAAUGACUGUGAAAAAGAGUGAGACAAAACGAGACAAGUUGUAUAAACAUAGCAGGUCAAGACAAAAUUUAUACCCAAUUUAUAAGUUAUAACUUAGUUAACAAAACCACCGUCGGGGACUGUUCGUCUGUUCCGAAUCUCUUGGACUUGAAACACCUAGUAUACAGAUCUCAGAUCUCAGAUCUCAGAGAGCCAGAGUGCAGAAAUCUCAAAUCAGAUAUGUACUAAUGUAACUGUGUAUCAGAUCUCAGAGACUCAGAGUGCAGAAAUCUCAAAUCAGACUUACCGUCGGCGCUAGUCGGAGACGUUGGUUGCGACGUUGCGUGUUGCGUGCUCGGCGGCCGGUUACCCUGCAGGCCGGCACUCGACAGGGUGAGCAGUGAGCUUUAAUGGAGGAGAAGCUUCAAUGGAAGAGAAAUUAUUAGUGAAGAACGGGUAGAAGACUGAAGAAGAAGGGAGAGUAAAGACUGAAGAAGUGAAGAGUAAAGUAGCUCUGUAAAGUAACUGAGUAAAUAAAGUACUUAAAGUAUUAAUUAGUAAAUUUCGGUUUUUUUUUCGAUUUUUCAAUUUUUACCGAAUUCAAAAUUCUCAUUACCGCUACCAGUAUCGAAAAGUAUAAAAAAACCGAAAAACUGAAACCGAAAAAACCAGUACCUCCGGUACUGGUUUCAACCGGUUCGGUAAAAAAACCGAAAAACCAAAUUUUUUGAGGACCCCUACUACAAACAUUAUGAAACUACCUACUAAUAAUGGUCCACCCAUUCUACAUGCAAGCUUGUUAUCAAGGUGUUUAGUAUUAUGAGAACCCAUCCCAUUGUGAUUGGUAAGAAGAAACACCCAUCAAAGUCGUCUAUUAAUGCAAAAACUCCAUUCUCAAAACCAAGCAAGAGUGUACGCUUGAUAAACACAAUGCUAGAUACAUUUUUUUUCCUGAUAAGUAAAUGGAAGGCAAACACUCACAAGCAUGUACUUCUUUUUGCUGUCAUAAUCUAGAUUACGGAAAUGGCCAUGCUCAAUAGAAUUUGUUUUCCUAUAAGCCAAAGAAACUUGAAAAUAUUAGAAAUUAACUCUUACCUAUUAAAAUAAUAGGCAAACCAUUGACAGUCAACAACUCCAAUCACUCAAUCACAUCCUGGAGUCACGUUACUUAAAAAGCUUGUAUAAGACAGGAUAAUGCAUAUUACUAUGCUUAAAUGAAAUGCUGACAAGCACGAGAGUCUUCUAACUCAAGUACAAAGAGUCAGAAAACUUACAAGUUACAAUAGAUUCAAAUAUCUCUUGAAUUAAUUAACCUAAUUCAAACAAGGUGAAAUUAUACCCAAUACAAGAACAAAGCCUGAAGCAGCAAAGGGCUAUUAGACAAUAGAAAUUCACUGUUGAUUAAAGUCCCAUGUUUAUCUCAAUUUAGUCUCUAUCAUUUAGUUGUAAUUAUAUAAUCCUAUCCCUAUCCCUAUCCUAGCAUUACCUCUGUUGUAGGUAAUUAUAUAAUCCUAUCCCUAUUCCUAUCCUAGCAUUACCUCUGUUGAAGGUAUGCAAAAGUAAUCAAAACAUAUUUGUAAUUUAAUUAGGGCAAGGGAUAUAUUUUUUCUAUUUCAACUAGGAAAAAAGUUGGCAUGAAUUCAAGUACUUGAAUAUAGUAUACCAACUUUUGUUUGAU